AAUGAUAUGCCUGAUAAAAGGAUUAUUUUGAUAGAAUAAAUCAUGUACUAAACUUAAACUACUUUCAUUA
rnacentral:tRNA from 1 species